rnacentral:rRNA from 1 species
AGCGAACGCUGGCGGCAGGCCUAACACAUGCAAGUCGAACGGACCCUUCGGGGUUAGUGGCGGACGGGUGAGUAACACGUGGGAACGUGCCUUUAGGUUCGGAAUAGCUCCUGGAAACGGGUGGUAAUGCCGAAUGUGCCCUUCGGGGGCAAGAUUUAUCGCCUUUUGAGCGGCCCGCGUCUGAUUAGCUAGUUGGUGAGGUAAUGGCUCACCAAGGCGACGAUCAGUAGCUGGUCUGAGAGGAUGACCAGCCACAUUGGGACUGAGACACGGCCCAAACUCCUACGGGAGGCAGCAGUGGGGAAUCUUGCGCAAUGGGCGAAAGCCUGACGCAGCCAUGCCGCGUGGAUGAUGAAGGUCUUAGGAUUGUAAAAUCCUUUCACCGGUGAAGAUGAUGACUGUAGCCGGAGAAGAAGCCCCGGCUAACUUCGUGCCAGCAGCCGCCGUAACAC